AAUAGGUUGUUAAUUUAUCAAAUACAGAUCAAGUUUUUAUUUUGAUCUAUAAUUUACAAUUUUAAAAAUAAUCUCUGUAAAUAGUCUUCUUGUGAAAUUUGACGCAAACGUGUUAUCUGUAAGGGAUAAAGAAACACUAUCUUAUUUAAGGAAGCUGAGCUAAUUGUCGGGGAUAUAUUCUCAUUAAAGCGAGUCAAGUUAGACAGUAUUUUUAAGAGCUAAGUUCCGUAACUUAUCUCACAUUUCCUCACAAACUGUCAAGGUUAAAUUAAUUUAAUUAACUCGGCUUACUGUUAAUUUCCGCAGAACCGCAAAAACCUAGUUGCUAAUUUUCACCAUUUUAUUUUUCAAAAAAAAACGACAAUGUUUCGCGAAGCUCUGAAUAAGGUCUCUAAAAGCAGCCGUGUCGUUUCGAAGUCGAGUGGUUUGCUUUCAACGGUUAGUCUUCUCAUUUUUUAUCUCUUUCUCAUGAGUGAAGUGAGAUCGACUGCUUCCGAGAUCGACAGAAGGGUUUCGCUGUAUGAGUCACCAGCCGACUUGCCCGACGACUCCAGUUUCAACCUCGCCUCUUUCGUCGAUCGGCAGUUGAACAAAUUGGCUAACCUUGAGAAAUUGGCGUGGUUAGUUAAGGUGAACAGAGAACCCUCAUCAUUUUACUACUCCUCGUCCUCGCAACCCAGGGUCUUUUCACCACCUGACUACCCUUCCAGUGGAUCACGGCCGCUAACCUUCAACAAAAGACCCCAUAUGCGGCUGCGACUUGGAACUGUCAGCCGAAAGUGAUGUCAUCUUAAGUUCACUUAUGAUGUCAUAGACCUAGUUUGAGUCGACCUGGCUCGUCGCAGAUUUAACAAAACUGAAGACAAGAAUCAUUGAUAAUAUCUUUUUAUCGGGGCUCAUUCUUGAGAAGACAAAUCAAUUUGAAUGGGUACUUGGUAAUUUCAGCUCAUAGGGUUUCAAGGCCAAAUUACCAAAUGAUAAUAAAUUCAAGAAUUCAAGUUUACAACAGGU